UACGUAGGGUGCGAGCGUUGUCCGGAAUUACUGGGCGUAAAGCGUGCGCAGGCGGUUUUGUAAGCCAGAUGUGAAAUCCCCGGGCUUAACCUGGGAAUGGCAUUUGGGACUGCAAGGCUGGAGUUUGGCAGAGGAGACUGGAAUUCCUGGUGUAGCAGUGAAAUGCGUAGAUAUCAGGAGGAAUACCGAUGGCGAGGGCAGGUCUCUGGGCUAUAACUGACGCUCAUGCACGAAAGCGUGGGGAGCAAACAGG
rnacentral:rRNA from 1 species